CCUACGGGAGGCAGCAGUGAGGAAUAUUGGUCAAUGGACGCGAGUCUGAACCAGCCAAGUCGCGUGAAGGAUGACUGCCCUAUGGGUUGUAAACUUCUUUUGUCUGGGAAUAAAAUCUUCCACGUGUGGCCUUUUGUAUGUACCAUAUGAAUAAGGAUCGGCUAACUCCGUGCCAGCAGCCGCGGUAAUACGGAGGAUCCGAGCGUUAUCCGGAUUUAUUGGGUUUAAAGGGCGCGUAGGUGGAUUGUUAAGUCAGUUGUGAAAGUUUGCGGCUCAACCGGAAAAUUGCAGUUGAAACUGGCAGUCUUGAGUACAGUAGAGGUGGGCGGAAUUCGUGGUGUAGCGGUGAAAUGCGUAGAUAUCACGAAGAACUCCGAUUGCGAAGGCAGCUCACUGGA
rnacentral:rRNA from 1 species